GGAAAGCUGCUGAGGCCAGGCAUGUGUCAGGGGUGUCCCUGAAUGGAGGUCCAGAGAGGCCAUUGUGUGAAACUGUAAAGUUGAAGUCUGGAUUGCCUUAGAGACCCCAAGAAGUUAGAGAUGCCAGAGUCCUGAGAUACUUACCGAAGAGCUGCUAAUAGGGAGUGGAACCAGCCCAAGAGAAAGAAGUGUGUUGCAGUCAACAAAGAUGAAAGGAAUUGGAAAUCUGAAUAGCAUUUGACAUCAGAGACAGAGAUGGAGAGUUUGGACUUUGCGCAGCUGUUUUUAGUCUUGCUUUGGAUCAAGAUGUAGGACACUAGAGUACAUUUCCAGCACCAUAUCUGCCUGCACACCACCAUGCCCCACCAUGAUGAUAAUGAACUGAACCUCUGAAAUCACUUGGGAGGCAACGACAAGAAGAUCAGGAGUUCAAGACCAGCCUUGGCUACAUAUUGCAUUUUGGCUGGUUUGGGCUACCUGAAACUGACUCAGAAAGAAAACCAACAACAACAAACCAAGAACAGCCAGGCUGAAGUAAUGGAGUAAAGAGAGUAAAGAAGCUACCAAGCAGAUAGCCUGAGACUGAUCCUAUGUGGUGUGGAAGGAGAGAACUGACUCCUAAGAGUUUAUCUUAGGAACUUCCCAUGCUUGUCAUAGCAUGUGCUUACCCUCCUAAAUAAAUAUGUACCAGUGACCUGCUUUGGCCAAGUCUCAAGUUAAUGAGUACUGCUGUACACUAAACAACGUGGAUAUCCAGCUAGUGCCAUGAACCCAGUGCUGACGUGCAAAAAUACAGGAUUUUCUGUCGAUUUUCAUCACCC